rnacentral:rRNA from 1 species
ACUCAAAGGAAUUGACGGGGACCCGCACAAGCAGCGGAGCAUGUGGUUUAAUUCGAAGCAACGCGAAGAACCUUACCAGGUCUUGACAUCCCGAUGCCAGGUAUAGAGAUAUACCCUCUCUUCGGAGCAUUGGAGACAGGUGGUGCAUGGUUGUCGUCAGCUCGUGUCGUGAGAUGUUGGGUUAAGUCCCGCAACGAGCGCAACCCCUAUUUUUAGUUGCCAGCAUUAAGGAUGGGCACUCUAGAGAGACUGCCGGGGAUAACUCGGAGGAAGGUGGGGACGACGUCAAAUCAUCAUGCCCCUUAUGGCCUGGGCUACACACGUGCUACAAUGGCCGGAAACAAAGGGAAGCGAAGCUGUAAAGUGGAGCGAAUCUCAUAAACCCGGUCCCAGUUCGGAUUGUGGGCUGCAACUCGCCCACAUGAAGUCGGAGUUGCUAGUAAUCGCGAAUCAGCACGUCGCGGUGAAUGCGUUCCCGGGUCUUGUACACACCGCCCGU